rnacentral:lncRNA from 1 species
AGCCAAGGACAACAGAGCAGCAAAGAUGACCCAGCUGAGCAGUGACCACAUAAAGCGCACGGUGGCCUGAGCACCCACUGGGCACAGCCCCAUCUACUCUCCUCUCAUGCAACAAAUCAGCAUAAGAAACAUGUGGACUCUGGAAGGUUCUCUCUCAUGGCAAGAAUUUGAAAAAGUAAAUUUAUACUCAGAUUCUAAUUUUAAUAGGGAAGUAAGAGUUACAGCUCAGUGCACAUAAAGUUGAGAAAAAGA